rnacentral:lncRNA from 1 species
AGCAGGAUGGUGGUGACAUUCCUCAUGUCAGCUCUUGAAACUGGCCAAGUUUAAGGCCAAAGGGGCCUGCAUCACUGAGUAUAAAGCAGAUGUCUUUGCCUUCGGAACUGAAGGACAGAGGACACAAUUUUUUCAAUACCAGAAAGGAUUUUCAAACAGAUUUUGUAAAAUAUUGCAAGCAUUAAGAAGAAAAGGUUGCAGAGAUGCAUUAAAUAAAGUCUACAACCCAGGUGAGUCAGAUGAGUGUAGAUGCUGUAGAAGUGGCAACACUCAGAAAAAACACUUUACAAAAACCCACAGAGGUAACUGUACCAUAUGAGAAGAUGCUACAAGACCAGUCAGCUUUGAUAGUACAGGGGCUUCCAGAAGGUGUUGCCUUUAAACACCCUGAGAAUUACUAUCUUGCAACCCUGAAAUGGAUUUUGGAGAACACAGCCGGGAUUUCAUUCAUUAUUAAGAGGCAUUUCCCUGGAAGUGGCAGCUGUGACAGUAAAGGAAGAAUCAGAAGAUCCUGAUUAUGAUUUAUAUCACAUUCAAGGUA